CAGUUUACGAGGAUGUUGUGGUCUUGGCAGUUUGGCACAGUUGGAAGGUUUGAGACAAGUUCCUGUUAUUUUGCAAGGUUUCAGAUCAUCAUUGUCUGACAAAGGAACCCGCUUCUCAGCACAAGUGAAUCAAUAAGCUGAAGCCCAUGGAAUCUGUUACCAUGUACCUCAUCUCUCAGAAGUCACUGCCUCUAGAACGGUAGAAAGUGCUCUGAAACUUCAUUAUGGUACCUCCUGGGAUUCACUGCUUUGAGAAGAGAAGUUUGAUAAUACUGGUACGUUGAUGUCGCCUUGUGACAGAAGCCUGAACUGCAGUUUAAACAUCGCUGAGCAGAAAGGUGGAGGGGUUGUAACCCAAGCCCACCCUACAGAGCUUUCUGGAAGUCUUCGUGAAAAGGAGGUCAUUCCAAGUAUAUAAGGAUACUGAGCAUCUUCCAACAGAAACUGCAACCUAUUAGGGUGCUGAAGAGAAAGCUUUAUGUGAGAGAAAAAGAGUAUUUUAAUUUAUAUUCUUUGAGACCUGUGGAUAAAUAUCUAUAGACGUGUAUACGCACAAAUGGAUCCAAGCCACUUAGGACUUUGUAACCUGAUUUUGCCUUUAUUAUGACAAUUAUUGUAUGUAAAUACAUUUCUAUCAUCACAUUUUAAAUUAUUUUACAACUUUUUAAAAUAUCAACCAGGUGUUUCAUUAUACAGAGGCCCCCAAACUUAUUUCAUUAGUAUCCCAGAGAUAAAAAUUUAGUUUAUAUUUUUACGACAAACAAUAGUACACUUAACAUCCUUGCUCAUAUAUAUGCAAAAACUUUGUAAGCACUUCUUUAUAAGUUUCUAAAAAUAAUUUUCAGGUUUUUUUCUUCAACUUUUGUUUUAAUUUCACGGGUACAUGUGCCAAAUGUAUAGGUUUGUUACAUAGGUAAACGUGCGCCAUGGUGGUUUUGCUGCACAGAUCAUGCCAUCACCUAGGUAUUAAGCCCAGCAUCCUUUAGCUAUUCUUCCUGAUGUUCUCCCUCCCCCUCCCGACAGGCCCCAGUGUGUGUUCUCCCACCACUGUGUGUCCACGUGUUCUCAUCAUUCAGCUCCUACUUAUAAGUGAGAACAUGUUUGGUUUUCUGUUCCUGCGUUAGUUUGCUGAGGAUAAUGGCUUUGGUUUGUCAGAAUUUUAUUUAGGAUUUUUGCAUAGAUGUUCAUAGGGAUGUUGGCCUGAAGUUUUCUUUUUUUUGUUUUAUUUCUGCCAGGUUUUGGUAUCAGGAUGAUGCUGGCCUCAUAGAAUGAGUUAGGGAGGAGUCUCUCCUUUUCAAUUGUUUGGAGUAGUCUCAGAAGAAAUGGUACCAGCUCUUCUUUGUGUUUCUGGUAGAAUUCAGCUGUGAAUCUGUCUGGUCCCAGACUUUUUUUUUUUAAUUUGUAGGCUGUUUAUUGCUGCCUCGAUUUCAGAACUCGUUAAUGGUCUCGUCAGUGAUUCAACUUCUUCCUGGUUCAGUCUUGGGAGGUUGUAUGUGUCUAGGAGUUUCUCCAUUUCUUCUAGAUUUUCUAGUUUUAAGUGCAUAGAGGUAUUUAUUGUAUUAUCUGAUGGUUGUUUGUAUUUCUGUGGGGUCAGUGGUGGUAUUUCCCUUAUUAUUUCUGAUUGUGUUUGUUUGAUUCUUCUCUCUUUUCUUCUUUAUUUGCCUAUCUAGCAGUCUAUUUUACUUUUUUCACAAAACCAGCUGCAGAUUCAUUGAUUUUUUGAAGGCUUGUUUGUUUGUUUGUUUGUUUGUUUUUGGAUUUUUUUUUUUUGUCUCUACCUCCUUCAGUUCAGCUCUGAUCUUGGUUAUGUCUUGCCUUCUGCUAGCUUUGGGUUUUGUUUUGUUUUGUUUUGUUUUUUUCUCUUGGUUCUCUCGUUCUUUUAGUUGAGAUGUUAGGUUGUUAACUUGAGAUAUUUCUAGCUUUUCGACGUGGGCAUUUAGUGCUAUAAAAUUCCCUCUUAACACUGUUUUAGCUGUGUCUCAGAGAUUCUGGUACAUUGUCCUUUUAUUCUCAUUAGUUUCAAAGAACUUUUUGAUUUCUGCCUUAAUUUCAUUAUUUACCCAAGAGUCAUUCAGUAGCAGGUUGUUCAACUUCCAUGUGGUUGUGUGGUUUUGAGUGAAUUUCUUAAUCUUGAGUUCUAAUUUAAUUGUGCUAUGGUCUGAGACACUGUUUAUUAGGAUUUCAGUUCUUUUACAUUUGCUGAAGAAUGUUUUACUUCCAAUUACGUGAUCAAUUUUAGAGUAAAUACCAUGUGACAAUGAGAAGAAUAUAUAUUCUGUUGAUUUGGGGUGAAGAGUUCUAUAGAUAUCUAUCAGGUCCACUUGAUCCAGAGCUGAGUUCAGGUCCUGAAUAUCUUUGUUAAUUUUCUGUCUCAAUGAUCAGUCUAAUAUUGACAGUGGGGUGUUAAAGUCUCACACUCUUGCUGUGGUGGAAGAUAAGUCUCUGUAGAUCUCUAAGAACUUGCUUUAUGAAUCUGGGUGCUCCUGUAUUAGAUGCAUAUAUAUUUAGGAUAAUUAGCUCUUCUUGUUGAAUUGAACCCUUUGCCAUUAUGUAAUACCCUUCUUUGUCUUUUUUGAUCUUUGUUGGUUUAAAGUCUGUUUUUAUUUUUUAUGUUUGUUUGUUUGUUUUUUCAGAAAGUAGGAUUGCAACCCCUGCUUUUUUCUGCUUUCCAUUUGCUUGGUAAAUUUUCCUCCAUCCCUUUAUUUUGAGCCUAUGUGUGUCUUUGCACAUGAGAUGGGUCUCUUGAAGACAGUAUACUGAGGGGUCUUGGCUCUUUACCCGCCCUGCCUUUCUGUGUCUUUUAAUUGGGGCAUUUAGCCUGUUUACAUUUAAGGUUAGCAUUGUUAUAUGUGAAUUUGAUCCUGUCAUCAUAAUGCUAGGUGGUCAUUUUGCAGACUUAUUUAUGUAGUUGCUUCAUAGUGUCACUGGUCUGUGUACUUUAGUGUGUUUUUGUAGUGGCUAGUAAUGGUUUUCCUUUCCAUAUUUAGUGAUUCCUUCAGGAGCUCUUUCUUUUUUUUAUUAUUAUUAUACUUUAAGUUUUAUGGUACAUAUGCACAAUGUGCAGGUUAGUUACAUAUGUAUACAUGUGCCAUGCUGGUGUGCUGCACCCAUUAACUCGUCAUUUAGCAUUAGGUAUAUCUCCUAAAGCUAUCCCUCCCCCCUCCCCCCAUGCCACAACAGUCCCCAGAGUGUGAUGUUCCCCUUCCUGUGUCCAUGUGUUCUCAUUGUUCAAUUCCCACCUAUGAGUGAGAAUAUGCGGUG
rnacentral:lncRNA from 1 species